rnacentral:lncRNA from 1 species
GCAGGACAGCGAGGUGGACACUCACAAGGAAAGCCCCAACCCCCCGCCCCCGACAGAGCAUCUGAGGAAAAAAAAAAAGAAGGGGUUUUCUUAUGAGUUAGGUUGCAGCAGAACUAAACA